rnacentral:rRNA from 1 species
ACUCAAAGGAAUAGACGGGGACCCGCACAAGCGGUGGAGCAUGUGGUUUAAUUCGACGCAACGCGAAGAACCUUACCUGGGCUAGAAUGCCUCUGACCUCCCUAGAGAUAGGGCUUCCUAGGGAAACCUAGGCAGAGUGCAAGGUGCUGCAUGGCUGUCGUCAGCUCGUGUCGUGAGAUGUUGGGUUAAGUCCCGCAACGAGCGCAACCCUUGUCAAUAGUUGCCAGCGGUUCGGCCGGGCACUCUAUUGAAACUGCCGUUGAUAAAACGGAGGAAGGUGGGGAUGACGUCAAGUCCUCAUGGCCUUUAUGUCCAGGGCUACACACGUGCUACAAUGGCAAGUACAAAGCGCUGCAAAAGAGCAAUCUGGAGCCAAUCGCAAAAAGCUUGUCUCAGUUCGGAUUGGAGUCUGCAACUCGACUCCAUGAAGUUGGAAUCGCUAGUAAUCGCAGAUCAGCACGCUGCGGUGAAUACGUUCCCGGGUCUUGUACACACCGCCCGU